GUAGGUGAACCUGCGGAGGGAUCAUUAAAAGGUUUAUCUGGGGGUGGGUAAAACCCUCCCGGAAAACUCCACCCUUGUAUAUUAUUACUUGUUGCUUUGGUGGGCCGCGAGAUUGCCUAGCGAUUGAGCACCGGCUUCGGCUGGAGAGCGCUUGCCAGAGGACCCAAACUCUGUUUGUCUGUAACGUCUGAGUACUAUAUAAUAGUUAAAACUUUCGACAACGGAUCUCUUGGCUCUC
rnacentral:misc_RNA from 1 species